rnacentral:rRNA from 1 species
UACAGAGGGGGCAAGCGUUGUUCGGAAUUACUGGGCGUAAAGGGCGCGUAGGCGGCCUGCUAAGUCGAACGUGAAAUCCCCGGGCUCAACCCGGGAACUGCGUCCGAUACUGGUAGGCUUGAAUUCGGGAGAGGGGUGCGGAAUUCCAGGUGUAGCGGUGAAAUGCGUAGAUAUCUGGAGGAACACCGGUGGCGAAGGCGGCAUCCUGGACCGACAUUGACGCUGAGGCGCGAAAGCCAGGGGAGCAAACGGG